rnacentral:rRNA from 1 species
GCAAGUCGAGGGGUAACAGGGUGCUUGCAUCGCUGACGACCGGCGCACGGGUGCGUAACGCGUAUAGAAUCUGCCUUUUACAGGGGGAUAGCCUUUAGAAAUGAAGAUUAAUAUCCCAUAGUAUUGCGAGAUGGCAUCAUUUUGUAAUUAAAGAUUUAUCGGUAAAAGAUGACUAUGCGUCCUAUUAGCUAGAUGGUAAGGUAACGGCUUACCAUGGCAACGAUAGGUAGGGGUCCUGAGAGGGAGAUC